UUACCAAAAACAUCGCCUCUUGCAAGAAUAAGAGGUCCCGCCUGCCCAGUGACAAUAGUUCAACGGCCGCGGUAUUUUGACCGUGCGAAGGUAGCGUAAUCACUUGUCUUUUAAAUGAAGACCUGUAUGAAUGGCAUAACGAGGGCUUAACUGUCUCCUCUUUCCAGUCAAUGAAAUUGAUCUCCCCGUGCAGAAGCGGGGAUAGACACAUAAGACGAGAAGACCCUAUGGAGCUUUAGACACUAAGACAGAUCAUGUUAAACACCCCGGAACAACGGCCUAAACUUAAUGACCCCCUGUCCUAAUGUCUUCGGUUGGGGCGACCAUGGGGAAGCACAAAUCCCCCAUGUGGAAUAGGAGGACUCCCACAAGCAAGAGCCACAACUCUAGCUAACAGAACAUUUGACCUUACAUGAUCCGGCUUACGCCGAUCAACGGACCAAGUUACCCUAGGGAUAACAGCGCAAUCCCCUUUUAGAGCCCAUAUCGACAAGGGGGUUUACGACCUCGAUGUUGGAUCAGGACAUCCUAAUGGUGCAG
rnacentral:rRNA from 1 species